rnacentral:misc_RNA from 1 species
GGGACGGGACUAUUCGGUUGAGUCUCUUCUUGCGAAGAGGCACCAGAUCAGGGGGCUCAUCUUCUCCCCAAUGGGAGAAGCGCUUAGUGAAAGGACUUACGCUUUGCACCUGAAGGAGAUUCUCCAGUUGGGUACAGUGCAAAGCCUUCCAUUUCGGCGGGUUGAAAGGGCCAUAAAGGACUUUAAUCUCUUUCUUGAACUUGAAAGAGCGUAAAUUCUGCCUUUUUUGAUCCCAAUUUCCCACUCUUUCUGUGAGGCAAAACCUCACCACACUACACUACACUUCGACACAAGAGAAGAGGACCGGGCGCUUUGUAUCUUCGGGAUAGGAGUUGGCGGUCUUCUUUAAGAGAACUUCAAUCUAAU